ACUUUUUUAGUAUAUAAGUAUAUUUGACUUCCAAUCAAAAGGAUUUGGUAAUAAAUCCAAAAAAAAGUA
rnacentral:tRNA from 1 species